rnacentral:lncRNA from 1 species
UUCAAGGACAACUCCCAAAACAGAAGACACAGAGCUGCCAGUUCUGGAAGAAUCCUGAGGUUUCAAGGCCCUAUGUCUGCACUUACGAGGACUGCAAGAUGUCUUAUUCAAAGGCUUGCCACCUCCGAACCCACAUGCGCAAGCACACCGGGGAGAAGCCCUAUGUAUGCGAUGUAGAGGGAUGUACGUGGAAAUUUGCCCGCUCAGAUGAGCUCAACAGACACAAGAAAAGGCACACUGGGGAAAGGCCCUACCUGUGUUCAAUAUGCAGCAAGAAUUUUGCAAGAUCUGAUCACCUAAAGCAGCAUGCAAAGGUCCAC